rnacentral:tRNA from 1 species
GGCAGUUUGGCGGAGUGGUCUAACGCGCUAGACUGUGCGUACCACCCAAUCAAAAUUUAAAAUGAAAUAUCAACUAACUCUGUAACAGUGAAUACUCAUUCAUGUUAUCUAGUCCUUUCGAGGGCGCAGGUUCGAACCCUGCAACUGUCG